CGCUGCAAAAACAUUAGCGCGCGUGCAUAUACCUUUGUUGUUCAUGUGCGCGUAGCAGACGUGCACGGUACCAGACGACGCUGCGGGAACAUGGAAUCUCAAGAACCUCCUCGUUUGCGUUUUUGUGUGCACGCAUCGUGGACAGGGAACACGAUCCACGCAUGCCCUGUUUUCUUUCUCCUACUUCUUUUCGAGCGAAAGAUUAGUAACGAAAACUGAGCGUGUUGUAUCGGGUGUCCUCACUUUCAGCGCGACGCGAGCAACAGCCACUUUGCUUUGCGUCCCCGGAAAACUAAGCAGCGCAAUCUUGUUCCAGUCCCGCAGUUCGCGUUGACACACGACUCCCAUUCCUGCAGCGCCCGCACGAGAGAGUUUCGCGGCCUACAUUUUAAGAAAACUUUAGAGAAGCUACGAAGAAGAAUCCGGAGGAAGCGAUACUGUGGAAGAGCGUCAUGCACGAGCUGAGCAGACGGCGCAAAAGCGGCAGCAGAUGCAUCGCCUGAAGGCUUGCUUCGUGUUCUGCAGGGCAUAGCGUGAGAGAAGAGCCAGAAGAACGCUGAGCAAAGAGGAUUCCUGCCGCUUGAUUGCAACCGUUCCUCUUGGCGUGCUCGGUAUAAGGUUCUCGGGCGAGCGGCACCGGAGGCAGUCAACGGCGCUGGGACCUUGCGAAUGGGGUGCAUUAUUCAUCGGAAGAAAUCACAACGAGGGAGCGUGCC